rnacentral:rRNA from 1 species
AUUGAACGCUGGCGGCAUGCUUUACACAUGCAAGUCGAACGGCAGCGCGGGCUUCGGCCUGGCGGCGAGUGGCGAACGGGUGAGUAAUGCAUCGGAACGUGCCCAGUAGUGGGGGAUAGCCCGGCGAAAGCCGGAUUAAUACCGCAUACGACCUGAUGGUGAAAGCGGGGGACCGAAAGGCCUCGCGCUAUUGGAGCGGCCGAUGUCGGAUUAGCUAGUUGGUGGGGGAAAGGCUUACCAAGGCGACGAUCCGUAGCUGGUCUGAGAGGACGACCAGCCACACUGGGACUGAGACACGGCCCAGACUCCUACGGGAGGCAGCAGUGGGGAAUUUUGGACAAUGGGGGCAACCAUGAUCCAGCCAUGCCGCGUGCGGGAAAAAGGCCUUCGGGUUGUAAACCGCUUUUGUUCGGGAAGAAAUCCUCUGGGCUAAUACCCCGGGGGGAUGACGGUACCGGAAGAAUAAGCACCGGCUAACUACGUG